AUCAUGCGAAUCAAUGAUUGUACAAAAAUCGUUGGACAAAAGAAAUAUUAAUUCACACCAAAGAAAAUAUGAAUAGUAAAUAAUGUUGUGUGUAAAGUUUACCCUAAAGGUUUUGAAUGCUUAUUUCAUUCAAAAUUUUCUGACGAAGACAGGAAUGAAAUCAAACAUUUGGUUGAUUUAUAUUUCGCCACAAUUGAUAAAAACAAUAUUAUUGCUAAACUCAAGAUGUGAAGAUUGAAAUUGGCCUCUAGUGACUUAAACCUAACUAAAAAUGGAUUAGAAGCUUUAGACAAUUGCAAUGAAGAAGUAUAUCGAAAUAUCCAUUUUUUAUUAAAAAUAUUUGUUAGUUUGCCUGUUUAAACAGCAACUCCAGAGAGAAAUUUCUCUAGUUUAAAACGCCUCAAGACCUAUCUGCGAAAUACAAUGGAAGAGGUUUAAUAUAAUAAAAUUAUAUAAUAUAAUAACAUUAUUUGUUUUAGACAAGUUUAAAUGAAUUAACACUGUUGUCAUUU